AUCGCUUCUCGGCCUUUUGGCUAAGAUCAAGUGCAGUAUCUGUUCUUAUCAGUUUAAUAUAGUUAACCUAAAUCCCUCAGCCUUCUAUUUCCAUUCUGUGUGAUCGGUUUAAUUGUCUCCUUCAUGGCCAGAAGGAGUUGGCUUUCACCAUGCAUUCUGAUAGAAAAAAGAAGAAAAAGAGAAAAGCCAGUUAUU
ensembl:snRNA U2 U2 spliceosomal RNA